AUGCAACCAUUUGGUGUAUCUAGGGAAAUGUGUCCUUGCAAUUCUCUGACGAAGCUCUUGACUAAGUGGCAGGUUCCUGCAUUGUUAUUUCAGGCUUAUUGAGUGGAAGUCAUGAUGAUUAAACCUAUUUAGCUUUGCAGUGUUCACAUUCUGCCUAUUUUAAUAAGCAUCCUUAUGGUCAUAAAGCUUUUGCGCAUACAUGCAUGUGGGUCCACAGACGCUGCACUGUUUGCUACUUUACUAGACAGAGGUUCUCGCCUCUCACUUAUGUUUGUUCCAUAUGUGCGGAUGUUAUUGCAAAGUUUGUGGGUUUACGAAAAGAACCUGAAGAAGCUAGCACUGAGUGACUUCCAUGGCCACUCCUGUCGGGAAAUAUCCCGUGGCAGAAUGGAUUGCUCAGAUUCUUGCUCCGAAAACUUUGCUGUGACAUUUCAGAAAAGCUUUAGCCUCUGCGGAAAGCUGACAACGACCCAAGUCCGGUCAUGCAAAUGCUUUGCAUUAAAAGCAGCAAUUGCAUAUGGUAGUUAACAGAAAAAUAUGAACUCUGUUGCCAAAGCUGAUGGUAUAGUAAGCCACCCAGGCAGCUCUGAAGCCUCAUUCAUAUUCAAACCCUAUCGCUAUAAAUGGUGUUCUUGAUGGUGAUCCUUGCUGACUUGCUCUAUUAUUAAGGCUGGAGAUGGAAAUGCAGCUUAAACUCUUCAGCACAUUUGGCGCAGCAUUUGUACAUUCAGAAAUGAGCCACAACGCCAUGAUCCUGGGAUCCUGUUGCAACCACCUUAAAACAUCUCGUUCACCAGGCAAGAAGGGUUGAUUACCUGUUCAACAGAGCUUGAUUAGCUGUCAGGUCCAGAGAUAAUAACAGAUGCUUUGUGCAUCGAUCUUCUAUCACCUGCUUAAUUUGUUACUCACUGUUCUUAAAUUGUCUAAAUCGACAUAUCAAUUCAGCAUAAGAAAUGACUUGAGUUUUUCUGCUUAAUUUGACAUACUUUAAAAGAACAUGCUGCUGCUCAGGCACCUGGAGAACAUCAAAGUAGACGUCAACCUGAUUCCAUCAAAGCAAAUACUCUUGCUUCCUCAUCUAUCAGCCAUUGACAGUAAAGAGCAUGCAGGUAUCUUGCGUUUGGGCAAGUAACUGGCAUCUUUAAGGGGGUGGUGGUCCCCUGUUGAAGGCUAAUUUGCAUGUGAUACAGGCAUCUUCCUAAAAGAAGAGUUUGGAUUUGCUAUCCCACUUUAUCACUACCCUAAGGAGUCUCAAAGCGGCUAACAAUCUCCCUUUCCCUUCCUCUCCCACAACAAACACUCUCUGUGACUAGCCCAAGGUCACCCAGCAGCUGCAUAUGGAGGAGCGGGGACACAAACCCGGUUCACCAGAUUACGAGUCCACCGCUCUUAACCACUACACCACACUGGAGAAAUAGGUAAGGUCCAUUGGCAUCAUGGGGCAGAAGAACUGAGAAACAAUGUACCAGGGUAUCAAGCAUUUCUUACCCAAAUUGAGCAGAUGGAAAGGGUCAGUUUCCCAUCUUCCUUCACCAUUAGCCAAGUUGCCUGAGGUUAUGAGAGUUAUAGUUCAAAACGUUUGGAGGGCACCAAUUCCAGGAAGGCUGCUGUAGGCUACUUUUUCAUUUCGAAAGGUAGGAGGAAGCAGUUGGUGUGAGGCGCAGCUUAUUAUCAAUGCCCCAGUGAAACCUGUGUGGGAGAAGACAAGGUGAUGGUUUGGAAGACAGGAAAAUGUGUGGAUUCCAGAUGUAUGAGGUAAACUGCACUUGAGUUUUUAAAGGGCUCCCCAAUUUAGUCCUGAAUGGUGCUUGGGUAACAGUGUCAUCAGUUUGUAGGGCUAGGAUUCAGUGGGAUGGUGAAAGUGCAAUGGAAGCUUUGUGUUGUUUUUUUAAAAUGGAUAUGCUGAUAGAGAAUAUGCCAGUGAUGUGCUUGGUCAUAGAUUAUACCCCCAAUAAGCUAAAUAAUGGAGAAACAUUGCUGCUUUAACAUUAUUCUCUAUAUUUGAACUGGUCAAUAUUAUAAAAGAGGCUAUAGGGCGCCCUAAUACUGAGAUAAGUCAGAUUUUGAAGCUAAUCGUUUGUAAAUUUGAAGAGUAAAGUUUUCUGAAGUGCAGAAAACUCAAAACGACAUAAAAGCAAAAAUCACUACCGUCGUGGUGAGGAAUGUUAUUUAUAAGAAGCCGUUUCUUGGGACGGUUGGGUAAAUUAAAAUAACACAACAAUGCUGAUGUUCUUGAGAUUGAUAGAUCGUUGUAAGUUCUAUGUUUGUCUUUGAACUUAAGCCGGUAAUUGUCUUUAUGACAAUAAACUGUAAUUAUUGGAAUAAUCUCAUACAUUUUGUAGUAUUGGGAUGUAUUUUAUAUCUUUUUAAUGUUUCACAUUAGUUGCAUUGUUGCCAAUUUGCAGUCCGUAUAUUUAUGCUUAAUUUUGUGUUAUCUUAUUCGGGAAAUAUGUAUUGUGUAACUUAAUUAUGGGAUUUAUAGACGUAAAUGGAACUUGAAAUGAAAAUAUGCUAAUAGCAUUUUAGAGUUAUUGUUCUGAGCUGUUCUCAGAUAUGUGCUCUUGAAUCAAUAUUAGUUUGGCUGUCUAGCCUUGUUCAUGGCAAUAUCCUCCAGCAAGAAAAUGUGUUUUUUUUGCAGAGAGAGAAGGAAAGGAGAGGAGAGGGAGGGGGGAACUAAACAAUUUGCCUGUAAAAUAAGGCAGCAUUGCAUAUUAAUUUCUUUGUACUUUAAGAAUAAAAUCCCUUAAUACUUUGGGUGUGGAACAAUUAUGUAUUCAUUGGCUUUAACCUUAUGCUAAUAAGGGAACAAAGCUUUAAUUUCUUUCCUUUUUCUUAUUUGUAUUUCUUGUGCAUAAUUUAAUGCAAACAAUCAGUUCAUACAUGGCAUUAGUGUUCUGGUGAUCAGUUCCACUGAUCAUGGUUUGUAAGCAUUUCUGUUGCAAACCUUGAUUAUCUAUGGUUUAUAAUUCAGAGGACGAAAAUGAAUUGUGGGACCUGAUUAAACAUACCUUGAAGGUAUGUGAAUGGCUCCUUCUUUGCCCACUUCCCCUCUUAAUAGAUACUGUGUUUAUGGUGGGAAAACCAAGGUUUGCACAAAUCCAGAAUUUGAUUUGUAGACCUUUCCAUUCAUUUGAAUGUGUGCUAAUUGUCCAUUCAGCUGAAUGGGAAAUCAAAGUGUUUCCUACCAUGCAUAGGAAAUAAUGCAUUACAGGUUUGGUGGGGAGGAUAGCAAAGGUACAGUGGUACCUUGGUUCUCAAACUUAAUCCGUUCUGGAAGUCCGUUCCAAAACCAAAGGCAUGCUUUCCCAUAGAAAGUAAUGCAAAAUGGAUUAAUCCGUUUCAGACUUUUAAAAACAACCCCAUAAACAGCAAUUUAACAUGAAUUUUACUAUCUAAUGAGACCAUUGAUCCAUAAAAUGAAAGCAAUAAGCAAUGUGCUGCAGUCACACAUUCAAUCAAUCAAUCAAUCAAUCAGGAACUGAACUGGGUUCCACACAGUCAC